rnacentral:rRNA from 1 species
GACGAACGCUGGCGGCGUGCCUAACACAUGCAAGUCAACUUGACUGAAGGAGCAAUCUGACAGUAGAGUGGCGCAAGGGUGCGUAACGCGUAAGUAACUUGCCCAAGGUAAGGAAUAACGUCGAGAAAUCGGCGCUAAUACCUCAUAAUGCAGCGGAUCCGCAUGGAUAUGUUGUUAAAGGUUUACCGCCUUGGGAUAGGCUUGCGUCUGAUUAGCUAGUUGGUGUGGUAAACGGCACACCAAGGCUACGAUCAGUAACUGGUCUGAGAGGAUGAUCAGUCACACUGGAACUGAGACA